rnacentral:rRNA from 1 species
GGGUUGUGAGGUUAAGCGACUAAGCGUACACGGUGGAUGCCCUGGCAGUCAGAGGCGAUGAAGGACGUGCUAAUCUGCGAAAAGCGCCGGCGAGGUGAUAUGAACCCUUGACCCGGCGAUGUCCGAAUGGGGAAACCCAGUGUGUUCCGACACACUAUCGUUAACUGAAUACAUAGGUUAACGAGGCGAACCGGGGGAACUGAAACAUCUAAGUACCCCGAGGAAAAGAAAUCAACCGAGAUUCCCCCAGUAGCGGCGAGCGAACGGGGAGCAGCCCGGAGUCUGAAUCAGCUUGUGUGUUAGUGGAACGGUCUGGAAAGUCCGACGGUACAGGGUGAUAGUCCCGUACACGAAAAUGCACAGGUUGUGAACUCGAAGAGUAGGGCGGGACACGUGGUAUCCUGUCUGAAUAUGGGGGGACCAUCCUCCAAGGCUAAAUACUCCUGACUGACCGAUAGUGAACCAGUACCGUGAGGGAAAGGCGAAAAGAACCCCGGCGAGGGGAGUGAAAAAGAACCUGAAACCGUGUACGUACAAGCAGUGGGAGCACCUUCGGGUGUGACUGCGUACCUUUUGUAUAAUGGGUCAGCGACUUAUAUUCUGUAGCAAGGUUAACCGUAUAGGGGAGCCGAAGGGAAACCGAGUCUUAACUGGGCGUUAAGUUGCAGGGUAUAGACCCGAAACCCGGUGAUCUAGCCAUGGGCAGGUUGAAGGUUGGGUAACACUAACUGGAGGACCGAACCGACUAAUGUUGAAAAAUUAGCGGAUGACCUGUGGCUGGGGGUGAAAGGCCAAUCAAACCGGGAGAUAGCUGGUUCUCCCCGAAAGCUAUUUAGGUAGCGCCUCGUGAACUCAUCUUCGGGGGUAGAGCACUGUUUCGGCUAGGGGGCCAUCCCGGCUUACCAACCCGAUGCAAACUACGAAUACCGAAGAAUGUUAUCACGGGAGACACACGGCGGGUGCUAACGUCCGUCGUGAAGAGGGAAACAACCCAGACCGCCAGCUAAGGUCCCAAAGUCAUGGUUAAGUGGGAAACGAUGUGGGAAGGCACAGACAGCCAGGAUGUUGGCUUAGAAGCAGCCAUCAUUUAAAGAAAGCGUAAUAGCUCACUGGUCGAGUCGGCCUGCGCGGAAGAUGUAACGGGGCUAAACCAUGCACCGAAGCUGCGGCAGCGACGCUUAUGCGUUGUUGGGUAGGGGAGCGUUCUGUAAGCCGUUGAAGGUGUGCUGUGAGGCAUGCUGGAGGUAUCAGAAGUGCGAAUGCUGACAUAAGUAACGAUAAAGCGGGUGAAAAGCCCGCUCGCCGGAAGACCAAGGGUUCCUGUCCAACGUUAAUCGGGGCAGGGUGAGUCGACCCCUAAGGCGAGGCCGAAAGGCGUAGUCGAUGGGAAACAGGUUAAUAUUCCUGUACUUGGUGUUACUGCGAAGGGGGGACGGAGAAGGCUAUGUCAGCCGGGCGACGGUUGUCCCGGUUUAAGCAUGUAGGCGGAGGUUCCAGGUAAAUCCGGUACCUUUUAACGCUGAGGUGUGAUGACGAGGCACUACGGUGCUGAAGUGAUAAAUGCCCUGCUUCCAGGAAAAGCCUCUAAGCAUCAGGUAACACGAAAUCGUACCCCAAACCGACACAGGUGGUCAGGUAGAGAAUACCAAGGCGCUUGAGAGAACUCGGGUGAAGGAACUAGGCAAAAUGGUGCCGUAACUUCGGGAGAAGGCACGCUGAUAGGUAGGUGAAGCCCCUGCGGGCGGAGCUGAAAUCAGUCGAAGAUACCAGCUGGCUGCAACUGUUUAUUAAAAACACAGCACUGUGCAAACACGAAAGUGGACGUAUACGGUGUGACGCCUGCCCGGUGCCGGAAGGUUAAUUGAUGGGGUUAGCGGCAACGCGAAGCUCUUGAUCGAAGCCCCGGUAAACGGCGGCCGUAACUAUAACGGUCCUAAGGUAGCGAAAUUCCUUGUCGGGUAAGUUCCGACCUGCACGAAUGGCGUAAUGAUGGCCAGGCUGUCUCCACCCGAGACUCAGUGAAAUUGAACUCGCUGUGAAGAUGCAGUGUACCCGCGGCAAGACGGAAAGACCCCGUGAACCUUUACUAUAGCUUGACACUGAACACUGGUCCUUGAUGUGUAGGAUAGGUGGGAGGCUUUGAAGCGUGGACGCCAGUCUGCGUGGAGCCGCCCUUGAAAUACCACCCUUUAAUGGCUGGUGUUCUAACGUAGACCCGUGAUCCGGGUUGCGGACAGUGUCUGGUGGGUAGUUUGACUGGGGCGGUCUCCUCCCAAAGAGUAACGGAGGAGCACGAAGGUUGGCUAAUCCUGGUCGGACAUCAGGAGGUUAGUGCAAUGGCAUAAGCCAGCUUGACUGCGAGCGUGACGGCGCGAGCAGGUGCGAAAGCAGGUCAUAGUGAUCCGGUGGUUCUGAAUGGAAGGGCCAUCGCUCAACGGAUAAAAGGUACUCCGGGGAUAACAGGCUGAUACCGCCCAAGAGUUCAUAUCGACGGCGGUGUUUGGCACCUCGAUGUCGGCUCAUCACAUCCUGGGGCUGAAGUAGGUCCCAAGGGUAUGGCUGUUCGCCAUUUAAAGUGGUACGCGAGCUGGGUUUAGAACGUCGUGAGACAGUUCGGUCCCUAUCUGCCGUGGGCGCUGGAGAAUUGAGGGGGGCUGCUCCUAGUACGAGAGGACCGGAGUGGACGCAUCACUGGUGUUCGGGUUGUCAUGCCAAUGGCACUGCCCGGUAGCUAAAUGCGGAAGAGAUAAGUGCUGAAAGCAUCUAAGCACGAAACUUGCCCCGAGAUGAGUUCUCCCUGAGACCUUGAGUCUCCUGAAGGAACGUUGAAGACGACGACGUUGAUAGGUCGGGUGUGUAAGCGCAGCGAUGCGUUGAGCUAACCGAUACUAAUGAACCGUGAGGCUUAACCUUACAACGCCGAAGGUGUUU